rnacentral:rRNA from 1 species
UACGUAGGGUGCGAGCGUUGUCCGGAAUUACUGGGCGUAAAGAGCUCGUAGGUGGUUUGUCGCGUUGUUCGUGAAAACUCACAGCUUAACUGUGGGCGUGCGGUCGAUACGGGCAUCACUGGAGUUCGGCAGGGGAGACUGGAAUUCCUGGUGUAGCGGUGGAAUGCGCAGAUAUCAGGAGGAACACCGGUGGCGAAGGCGGGAUCCUGGGCCAGUACUGACGCUGAGGAGCGAAAGCGUGGGGAGCAAACAGG